UGCGGAAGGAUCAUUACUGAUUUGCUUAAUUGCACCACAUGUGUUUUUCUUUGAAACAAACUUGCUUUGGCGGUGGGCCCAGCCUGCCGCCAGAGGUCUAAACUUACAACCAAUUUUUUAUCAACUUGUCACACCAGAUUAUUACUAAUAGUCAAAACUUUCAACAACGGAUCUCUUGGUUCUCGCAUCGAUGAAGAACGCAGCGAAAUGCGAUACGUAAUAUGAAUUGCAGAUAUUCGUGAAUCAUCGAAUCUUUGAACGCACAUUGCGCCCUCUGGUAUUCCGGAGGGCAUGCCUGUUUGAGCGUCGUUUCUCCCUCAAACCGCUGGGUUUGGUGUUGAGCAAUACGACUUGGGUUUGCUUGAAAGACGGUAGUGGUAAGGCGGGAUCGCUUUGACAAUGGCUUAGGUCUAACCAAAAACAUUGCUUGCGGCGGUAACGUCCACCACGUAUAUCUUCAAACUUUGACCUCAAAUCAGGUAG
rnacentral:misc_RNA from 1 species